UACGAAGGGGGCUAGCGUUACUCGGAUUGACUGGGCGUAAAGGGCGCGUAGGCGGUUUGUACAGUCAGACGUGAAAUUCCUGGGCUCAACCUGGGGGCUGCGUUUGAUACGUGCAGACUUGAGUUCGGAAGAGGGUCGUGGAAUUCCCAGUGUAGAGGUGAAAUUCGUAGAUAUUGGGAAGAACACCGGUGGCGAAGGCGGCGACCUGGUCCGAUACUGACGCUGAGGCGCGAAAGCAUGGGUAGCGAACAGG
rnacentral:rRNA from 1 species